rnacentral:rRNA from 1 species
UACGGGGGGGCAAGCGUUGUUCGGAAUUACUGGGCGUAAAGGGCUCGUAGGCGGCCAACUAAGUCGGACGUGAAAUCCCUCGGCUUAACCGGGGAACUGCGUCCGAUACUGGAUGGCUUGAGUUCGGGAGAGGGAUGCGGAAUUCCAGGUGUAGCGGUGAAAUGCGUAGAUAUCUGGAGGACACCGGUGGCGAAGGCGGCAUCCUGGACCGACACUGACGCUGAGGAGCGAAAGCCAGGGAGCAAACGGG